rnacentral:tRNA from 1 species
GGAGAUGUUAGCUCAUUGGCAGAGCACUUACCUAGCAUACCCAAAGUUCUGGGUUCAAUUCCCAGCACCACCA